rnacentral:tRNA from 1 species
UGCCGGAGGAGAGACUCGAACUCUCACGCCUUGUGGGCACUCGAUUUUGAAUCGAGCGCGUCUACCAAAUUCCGCCACUCCGGC